rnacentral:rRNA from 1 species
UACGAAGGGGGCUAGCGUUGCUCGGAAUGACUGGGCGUAAAGGGCGCGUAGGCGGCUUGCACCGUCAGAUGUGAAAUUCCUGGGCUUAACCUGGGGGGCUGCAUUUGAUACGUGUGGGCUUGAGUGCGGAAGAGGGUCGUGGAAUUCCCAGUGUAGAGGUGAAAUUCGUAGAUAUUGGGAAGAACACCAGUGGCGAAGGCGGCUCACUGGACCGGUUCUGACGCUGAGGCGCGAAAGCGUGGGGAGCAAACGGG